GUUGAACGCUGGCGGCAGGCUUAACACAUGCAAGUCGAACGAGUGGCGGACGGGUGAGUAAUGCCUGGGAAACUGCCUGAUGGAGGGGGAUAACUACUGGGAACGGUAGCUAAUACCGCAUACCAUCGGAUGUGCCCAGAUUGGAUUAGGUAGUGGGUGGGGUAAAGGCUCACCUAGGCGACGAUCCCUAGCUGGUCUGAGAGGAUGACCAGCCACCCUGGAACUGAGACACGGUCCAGACUCCUACGGGAGGCAGCAGUGGGGAAUAUUGCACAAUGGGCGCAACCCUGAUGCAGCCAUGCCGCGUGUAUGAAGAAGGCCUUCGGGUUGUAAAGUUCUUUCAGUGGGGAGGCGUUACCCGCAGAAGAAGCACCGGCUAACUCCGUGCCAGCAGCCGCGGUAAUUC
rnacentral:rRNA from 1 species